ACUCCUACGGGAGGCAGCAGUGGGGAAUAUUGCACAAUGGGCGCAAGCCUGAUGCAGCCAUGCCGCGUGUAUGAAGAAGGCCUUCGGGUUGUAAAGUACUUUCAGCAGUGAGGAAGGUGGAUAUGUUAAUAGCAUAUUCAUUUGACGUUAGCUGCAGAAGAAGCACCGGCUAACUCCGUGCCAGCAGCCGCGGUAAUACGGAGGGUGCGAGCGUUAAUCGGAAUUACUGGGCGUAAAGCGCAUGCAGGUGGUUUGUUAAAGUCAGAUGUGAAAGCCCGGGGCUCAACCUCGGAAUUGCAUUUGGAAACUGGCAAACUAGAGUACUGUAGAGGGGGGUAGAAUUUCAGGUGUAGCGGUGAAAUGCGUAGAGAUCUGAAGGAAUACCGGUAGGCGAAAGGCGGCCCCCUGGACAGAUACUGACACUCAGAUGCGAAAGCGUGGGGAGCAAACAGGAUUAGAUACCCUGGUAGGCUACUGC
rnacentral:rRNA from 1 species